CAAACAUUCGAUCUCAUUGUGUAAACGAUUUAAAAUUAAAAUUGUUUUACAUGUAAUGUUUAACUCUGCUUUGAAUAGGAAUGAUAAUAAUAUGUGCGACAGAACUGUACAGUGUUUGUUAAGGCAAACAUUUUCUGGCUUGCCGAACAAAACGGAAAUCCGUCUGAGACAAAUGUAUUACUGGCGGCUCGCGUGUGAUUCUAUGUUUUUGACGGACGGAUCAUUAAAACAGAGUUGCACAUAAUGGACGGCCGAAAAAUGUUUGAACAUCUUAAGUAACCAAUUCGUGUACUGCGCCAACAGAUUCUCUAUAUGGCUGUGACGGUGUUUGCUUGCAAGUUUGACAUUAUAGUUGCGGUUUCAAGACACGUCCGUCUCACGACACGUUGUUUUUGUACAAGUAUGAACCAGUUUUAAUAAAAAUGACCAGCUACAUCAUUAUUUUCCUAUAGUAAAACUUCUUGGAAAAUUGAUUUCGAUUUGGGAAUUCAUACACCAGUACAUUUAUUUGAAAAUUCAGUUGGAUAGAUAAACAUGCUUAAAUUGUGUAAAAUUCAACAUGUGCUGUGGCUACAGUGAUUGCUCUGCUGAUAUGGAUAAGAUACAUAAGACAUUUAAAUUCAAUUUAAGAGAAAACACUUAAAAUACUUUCUAUAGGCUAAUAUUAGCAUACUACACCUGUUAUUAUAUAACUAUUAUUAUUAUUAUUAUUACUAAUUUUAAUUUCUUGUGAUUUGUAAAUACCUUAAAACGUAGCUGAUAGUUUCUUUGUUUACUAAUAAUCUUCCAAUAUUAUUACUAAUUGUUAUCCAUUUUCAAAAUGUUAAAAAUAAUAAUGUAUCUAUUCAACAUUAAGUUAAGAUGACAUAAUAUGUCAGUAAGACUUUAUUUAAUAAAAAAAAGGGAAAAAAAGCAUACUACACAUUGUUACUAACAUUUUAAUUUAUUAUUCGUGAUAUUAAGUAUUAACCUGAUCGUUAUGUCAAAUCUUGAGUUGUGCACUGGGUUUUGAAACUCAUGCUGGUUAAUGGAUAUGGCAUUUUUGAAAACAACAACUAUUUUCGGUUCAAGAAGUUUAACAAACUAUUUAGUGAGAAUGCUAAGAUGACAAAUGGUAACAAUCAAGAAGAUUCAUUUGAUGUAUACAAACAAAAUAACUUAUCAAAAAACUUGACAGAAAAUGUACAACGGUAAAAGGGUAAAUAAAAACAAAUUCCAUGGUAAAAAUACCUGGGGAAAUGUAAGAUUCAAUCACUAUCAAUCGCUUACUUGCAUUUAAACUUCAAAUUAAUAAUAUAGAUAUUUAAUAUUAUAUUGUAUUACUAUACAAUUUUUAGAAACAUAUUUAAUUAAAAUCCAGCUGUUAUUCAAGGAAGGAGCAAUUUUUAAAAAAUAUUGAAACGUAUGUAUUCAUUGCAUAAAUAUUUAAUCUAUAAAAAUAAAAA